rnacentral:rRNA from 1 species
GGAGGGAGCGAGCGUUGUUCGGAAUCACUGGGCGUAAAGGGCGCGUAGGCGGCCGAGUAAGUCGUGUGUGAAAGACCGGGGCUCAACUCCGUGUACUGCAUGCGAUACUGCCCGGCUAGAGAAAGGUAGAGGCGAGUGGAAUUCCCGGUGUAGCGGUGGAAUGCGUAGAUAUCGGGAAGAACACCUGUGGCGAAGGCGGCUCGCUGGGCCUUUUUCUGACGCUGAAGUGCGAAAGCGUGGGGAGCAAACAGGAUUAGAUACCCUGGUAGUCCACGCCGUAAACGAUGGGCACUAGGCGUUGGGAGGAUUGACCCUCUCAGUGCCGUAGCUAACGCGUUAAGUGCCCCCGCCUGGGGAGUACGGCCGCAAGGCUG